UACAGAGGUCCCAAGCGUUGUUCGGAUUCACUGGGCGUAAAGGGUGCGUAGGUGGCGGGGUAAGUUUGAUGUGAAAUCUCCGGGCUUAACCCGGAAACUGCAUUGAAUACUAUUCUGCUCGAGGUUUGGAGGGGGGACUGGAAUUCUCGGUGUAGCAGUGAAAUGCGUAGAUAUCUGGAGGAACACCGGUGGCGAAGGCGGCAUCCUGGACCAACACUGACGCUGAGUGAGCGAAAGCCAGGGGAGCAAACGGG
rnacentral:rRNA from 1 species